GCAAAACAGCAGCGCCGGCCUUGGGGGAGAGGCCAGGUGGAAAGGCAGGUCCCAGGACGCUGGCGUCGGAGCACACAACUGGAAUCUGGGGUUGGCAGAGGGGUGGGAUGUGGAGCAAAUCCAGUGCUGACAGCAGCCAGUUGGGACACGGCUUGUUACUCAUCACCUUCCCUCCGCUCGGGCCGCGCCUCCACCCACCGCGCCCAGAGACCCGGACCACUUCAAUAGCCUGCGCAGAUACGGAACGUUUCCAUCAUCCCAGCAAGCUGUACAGGACGGGACAGCCCACCUGCCUCCGUGUCCAUCUUGUGAGCACCUCCUCUCCCUCCCCUUAUGGGGCCACACUGGUCUGCUGGACCAGAGAACAUGCCAGGCCCAGGCCCACACCCACUCUUCCUUCUGCCUGGAGCCCCGUCCCCCCACUCCUGACAUGGGUGCUCCUCUCAUGCUUUGGGGCUCCACCUAAGUACCCCUCUCUAUUCUGCACCAGCCUCUCAUUUGUGUCCUUCACAACACCUAAUAUCACUUGUAAUCAUUUUGCCAGCUCAUUUACAAGCUUACUCUUUGCCCCCUUAGAAUGUAAGCCCAGAGAGAGCAGGACCCGGAUUUUUUUUCCCUGGUUGUAUUCCCAGGGACUGGCAUGGUGCACAGCCCAUUUAGGCACUCAGCACACCCGGAAGCGACUGUCAGUGCUCCACGCAGGGGAAGUAACACGUGUGCAAAGGCAGAGGCCGGCAUCUGCGUGGGGCCGGUCGGUGGAGGGCUGGUAGGGAGACGGUUUCAAGAUUGGGGACGUGACAGUGUGGUUUACCAGGGGAGGUGGUGCCUGAGUCAGGAAGCCACCGAGGAGCCUGCUCGAUGACCAAAGGAACUCAGCCAGGAACGGCUGGACAGCAGGGAGCGGGCCCCUUGGCCGCCGUCGCUGUCUAUGAAGUCCGAAGGUGCCUGGAACAGGGGUCAGUUGCAGAAGAACAGGGCUAGAGUGUAACUUCUAUUGAGGCAGCACUUCGCCUCCUUCACACCGUGCCGAGGACUGGGCCUGUCACGUCGUAGAUGUUCAACAAAUACCUGUCGGCUAAGCGUCCGACUCUUGAUCUCAGCUUGGGUCUGGAUCUCAAGAGUUGUGAGUUCAAGCCCCACACUGGGCUCCAUGCUGGGCCUGGAGCCUCCUU